AGGGUUUGAUCAUGGCUCAGAACGUACGCUGGCGGCACGCCUAACACAUGCAAGUCGAACGAAGUAGCAAUACUUAGUGGCAGACGGGUGAGUAACAUGUGGGUAUCUACCCUAUGGCCUGGAAUAACACGAGGAAACUUGUGCUAAUACUGGAUAAGUCUUUACGGAGAAAGCUUUAUGCACCAUUGGAUGAGCCCGCACUUGAUUAGUUUGUUGGUAGGGUAAUGGCCUACCAAGACUUUGAUCAAUAGCUGAUUUGAGAGGAUGAUCAGCCACAUUGGGACUGAGACACGGCCCAAACUCCUACGGGAGGCAGCAGUGGGGAAUCUUGCACAAUGGAGGAAACUCUGAUGCAGCGAUGCCGCGUGAGUGAAGAAGGCCCUUGGGUUGUAAAGCUCUUUCGUCGGGGAAGAAAAUGACUGUACCCGAAUAAGAAGGUCCGGCUAACUUCGUGCCAGCAGCCGCGGUAAUACGAAGGGACCUAGCGUAGUUCGGAAUUACUGGGCUUAAAGAGUUCGUAGGUGGUUGAAAAAGUUGGUGGUGAAAUCCCAGAGCUUAACUCUGGAACUGCCAUCAAAACUUUUCAGCUAGAGUUUGAUAGAGGAAAGCAGAAUUUCUAGUGUAGAGGUGAAAUUCGUAGAUAUUAGAAAGAAUACCAA
rnacentral:rRNA from 1 species